UGGCAAAGGUCGAUUUAUUCAGGGCAGAGUUUUUGGUGUCUGGAGCGGACUGGGCAUUUUAAAUUGCUGACUUUGGAUGCAUUUGUUGACUUCACGUGGCCAAAGCGCUUCUUAUUUCCUGGGACUGAUUAGAAAAUGUAUACGUCCCACCUGGGUUUUCAUCCAGGGACAGAGAGUGUCCAGAGAACAGGUUUAAAAGGGACAGUAGGAAACAAGCCAAAGCUGUCUCGGGUUACAUCCAGAGCACCUGCCUGCUCCUCACACAGCUCCUCAGACGUCUCCACCUAAUCACAGAAUGACGGAGCCUCGAGUUUCCUCUCAUGGCCACCAACGCCGUGGGGCAGCCAACUUACAGAAUGUCUUCACUUCAAGAUGGGAUACAGCCUGAAAACACGAGCAGCGAGUGUAAAAUGGGUGGAAGAGGUAUGGCUAAGCCUUUCGAGGUUGGCACUGGGACAGCAGUGGCACCUCCUCCUGACACAUCCCUGAAGGUGAAGGCUGGGCUUCCACGGAGCGUGCGGAUGCCUAACGUGGAUUCUUCAGUAGCUUGUGACACCCUUAUUUGGAAGAAGCACUUGCCAGAAAGUGAACCGCAACAGUAGCAGUCAUGAUGGCGAGUAUUAUAUUCCAGUGAAUAUCCAACGAUACCACCAAUCAGUAAUUCCAUGCUUAACUUGUGGGGAACAAGCUCUUCUCCAUAGCAGCUGUACCACUCUGCAUUCCUGCUGCACCGUGUGAGGACCCCCAUUCUCCACGUCCUCACCGACACUUCUUUCCCAGUUUUUGAUUAUAGCAUCCUAGUGGGUGUGAGAUGCUAUCUUACUGUGGUUUUGAUUUGCAUUUUCCUAAUGAGUAAUGACAUUGAGCAUCUUUUUAUUGUGAAUUACAUAAAAUUGGAAUGGAAAAAUAAAUAAGAACUGUAGAUGAAG
rnacentral:lncRNA from 1 species